rnacentral:tRNA from 1 species
GCGGGUAUAGCUCAGUUGGUUAGAGCGCUUGGUUGUGGUCCAAGAGGUCGUGGGUUCGAGACCCACUACUCGCCCCA